AUGGCCGCGCAGGCGAUCCACCAGUUCGCCGAGUGCAUCACCUGCCACGCCUGGAGCCCCGACCACUCCAUGAUUGCCUUCUGUCCAAAUACCACAGAAGUACACAUUUAUAAGUUUUUCACAGACAAGUGGGAGAAACUUCAUGUUCUUGCAAAGCAUGAUCAGAUAGUGUCUGGAAUAGACUGGAGUAGAUCUUCCAACAAAAUUGUGACUGUUUCACAUGAUAGAAAUUCAUAUGUUUGGACACAAGAAGGACAAGAUUGGGUACCUACGCUUGUUAUUCUCAAGCUAAACCGUGCAGCUCUAUGUGUCCAGUGGAGUCCAAAAGAAAAUAAGUUUGCUGUGGGAAGUGGUGCUAAGUCUGUAUCCAUUUGCUACUAUGAACAAGAGAAUAACUGGUGGAUUAGCAAGGUUAUUAGGAAGAAGCAUGAAUCUUCUGUUACUAGUAUCGCGUGGCAUCCAAACAAUAUACAUCUUGCAACAACUUCUACUGAUGGUAAAUGCAGAGUGUUCUCCACUAUCAUCAAGGGUGUAGAUACAAGGGGACCACACGCAGGUGCCUCAGUGGAUUGGAAAUUCGGAGAGCAAAUUGCUCAACUUGAUCUAUCACCUACAUGGGCAUUUGGUGUAAGGUGGUCGCCAAGUGGAAAAACAUUGGCCUAUGCAGGGCACAGUUCCAUGAUUUAUUUCGUUGAUGACGUUGAAGGGUCUCCUGCUGUGCAAAAUUUGGCACUGCGUGAUCUGCCUCUCCGUGAUAUUCUUUUUGUUUCUGAAAAGAUGGCGAUUGGUGUUGGAUUUGACUGCAAUCCUUUGAUCUUUGCUGCAGAUGAGACUGGACUUUGGAGUUUUGUCAGAUAUUUGGAUGAAAGGAAAGUUACUCCAUCAACUUCAAAAGCCUCGCAGCUCUCAGAGGCCCUUGGAAAGUUGUACGGCCAAUCGAGGCAAGGGUCGAGCAGCGACACUGUCGAACCAUCGAAGCCUCGAGGCGGCGCUCAUGAGAACUGCAUAACUUGCAUCGUGCCGUUGAGAAAAGGGAGCGAGAGUAUUGUCAAACGGUUCAGCACAUCAGGGCUGGACGGCAAGAUUGUGGUAUGGGAUCUGGAAAAUCACAUCACCAUUCCAAAAUAG
rnacentral:rRNA from 1 species